rnacentral:rRNA from 1 species
GCAUAUCAAUAAGCGGAGGAAAAGAAAAUAACAAUGAUUCCCCUAGUAACGGCGAGUGAAGCGGGAAAAGCUCAAGGUUAAAAUCUCCAAGGUCCCUUUGUUUAUCUUGGCGACAUGUAAUCUAAGGAUUGUGGUUUGGUCUGUGGGUAUGAAAGCAAUUAAAGCCAGUUGAAUCUGGCACCAUUGAGGGUGAAAGUCCCGUUUAUGGUUGUUUUCAUGUUCACUAUUGUACCCCAUUUUCCGCGAGUCGGGUUGUUUGGGAAUGCAGCCCUAAAUGGGAGGUAAAUUUCUCCUAAGGCUAAAUAUUUGCAAGAGACCGAUAGCAUACAAGUACCGUAAGGGAAAGGUGAAAAGUACUCUGAAGAGAGAGUGAAAAGUACGUGAAACUGUUGGUAGGGGAAACGUUUGCACAGCACACUUGUUGCAUAGUAGCCUCGGCUAUGUGUAUUUACAGCCUUGCACCAAUUUUCUUUGCUGGAAAAAACCUGCUAGAAUGUAGGGAGCCAUCAGGCUAGAUUUAUCUAGUCCGGUUUCUGUUAUAGCCAGCAGGCAAUACAGUGGAUGGAGAUUGAGGAAUGCUAAGCAGCGCGGUUUUCGAACUGUGCGGUCCCUCCUUGCCCCCCAUGGCUAGACCUCUGGUUAGACAUUUCUAUGACUACCGGAGGGCUAACUUUAGCCUGGACCUUGGGUAGGGGUUGUAGGAACAAAUGCUUAACGGAUGCAGGGAAGUGUUGAACAAUCGACCCGUCUUGAAACACGGACC